CUUUAUCUAUCUUCUCUGUCUCUCUAUUUUCUAGUCAUGAAAUUGUGUCAAACUGUGGCCUACAGAGGGUAAAUCACAACAUAAAUAUGACUGAAUACGCAGAAGUAGAGGAAGUUGUGAGCGAUUUGAGAAAUUUAGCUGCAGUUUGAGGAAGAAGCUAAAUCAAGUGAUGAAGAAAAAGGAGCUGCAACAGAACAGCAGUCAGAAGAUACAAAUAAACCUGAAGCUGUGAAACCCAGAGGAGGUGAGUCUUGCUUUGUCUCAGACUAAAUAGAAAAAGGGAAGCCAUCCUUGUUGUUAGUAAUGGAUCAGACAUAGCUUGUGUUAAGUGGAAUGAAAUGUGAAAUGUGUGUGCAGAUGACCAAGCUUUUGUAGUCCAAAAGCUGAACACGGUGAUAGAGAACCAGAACCAGGAACUGCGCCUGCUGCAGCUGCUUGCUAACUGCUUAUGAUGAAGCAGGAAGAUGAGGGUUGGACGAACAGAGGGAUGAAGACUUAUUAAACUCUUCUGAAAGCAAGAGAUCAAUAUAAAAGAAUGCACAAUAUAACCAUAACAAGACAUUUGUAAGAUGUUCUGCUCCAAAAUGUCUCAAUAAAAUCAAUUGUGGAAAAAAUAUACAAUUGUGCAAUUCAGAGAAUCUAACAAGGCCAAAACAUUUGGCAGAGAAAACAAGAUGUUCUUUUCAACAACUUGCAGUGCCUCAAGGCUUUUAGGAGAAACUUCACCAUUUUUGUUAAUAUUAGGUGGAUUUUGAAACUAAUUAUAAUUUUCAUAUUUCUACCCACAGGCAAUUUCAGAGUGUAAUUACCUUAAACUUUGUUACUUUCACUUUGCACUAACUCUCACCAGACUUCAGUUAAUGAUGUAGCUUUAUUUAAAAUUACAUGACAAAACAAUGAUGAUCACUAGAAUCACCAUCAGUACUAAUCAAUAAGUAUUUCCUCCACAUGUUCUUUUCUAGUCUCACAGACACAUUAUGUUACACUUUGAAAGGAAUAACAUUUAUGGUUUACAAUAGUUUUUCCUAUGAAUGAGCUGAUUAGUGUGGUGUGUUUCUAUUCAGACUCCUGAACCAUCUGGCUGUAGUUCCAGCAGCUUUAACAUCUACAGACAAAACACUUCAAGCUCAGGUUAGGUCAGGAUAGUUUAACACAAAUUUUUCUGCCUUGCCACAAAUCCUCAGCUGAAUUCAGGUCUGAACUUUGACUGGGCCAUUGUAACACACACAUCAGUUUUGAUUUCCAUCCAUCCAUAGCAUCGUUGGCUGUAUAUUAAAAUUGUUGCCCUGCUGGAAGGUGAAUCUCAGAUCUUGUGCCGCCUCUAACAGGUUUUCCUCAAGGAUUGUCCUGGAUUUAGUUUCAUCCAUCUUCCCAUCAACUCUAACCAGCUUUCCUGAUCCUGCUUGAGGAAAACAUUCCCACAGCAUGAUGGUACUACUACAAUGUUUCACUGAGGAGGAAGUUGCUCUCAGGAUGAUGUACAGGAUGGGUGUCCUUCCAUUUUUGCAUGUUGUCUAGUUUUCCUUCUCCAGGUUGAUGUCCAUGGUUUGGUAGUUUGUCUGUUUUAGAAGCUAAUUCUGCUUUAACCUUCUCAACUUUCUAACCUGACCUGUUUGCUGUGUUCCUUGGUCCUUAUAACAGGUUUGUAGUGAUGUACAAUUACUUUUUUACUUAAGUAUACAGUACAGACCAAAAGUUUGGACACACCUGUGUGU